CCGAACGGAUUGGUGUGCUCCUAGAGGUUCGAAGCUCUAUACAGUUUUCUGAGAGCUCGCCUUGGCUUUGCUAGUCGCAAAAAUAGGGUGCGCGCGGUUUGUCCGGCUGAGGGCGCCGUACGGUUUGUCCGUACUGAGGCCAACGCUGGCUGUAGGAGGUGACCGGCUGUGCCGCAGGUUGUAGUUUUGACCGUUCCCCAGCAGGGAGCGCUGCACAUGUUGAUCGUAGAAGGCAAGGCGAGUCUAGACUGCUGGAAGGUGAUAAAAAGAACAUACAUGAAACAGAAAUGCCUUCGAAGCAUUUAGAUUUAAGAAGACCCAUUUAGUCCAGCAUUCUGUUUCCAACAGCAGCCGUCCAGUUGCUUCUGGGGAACUCUCAAGCAAGACAUGAAGGCAACACAGCUACACCAACACAGCUACACCCACAGCUACAUGUUGUCUGUCCUCAGUCCGUGUUUCGAAUUCAGACACACUACUACUGAACAUGGGGGCGCCGUUUAGUUAUCAUAGAGACUAGCCUUAACGAAUUUGCCUAAUCCCAGUCUUCUUAAAGCUUCCUAAGCUACUGACCAUCACUGAACCUUGUGGCACCACUUUCCAGAAAUUACUUAUUCUGAAUGUGAAGAAGUUUGUUGAAAGUUUUUUUCCUGCCAAAGACAAAGGAACCCAGACAAAGUUUGAUGACUAAACAGUAGUUGGUUGUCUUGACUCUACAGCAAGACAACUUCAGUAGGUGAUCCCGUGUUGGAGCCGAGAGUUCAGGUGCUUCUGCAGGCACAUUAGGGACAAGAAGGCAUAACCUGCCUAAAUGCUUUCCUGGAGGCGAUGAUGGACUGGAUGAGGGAUAACAAACUGAGACUGAAUCCAGAUAAGACAGAGGAACAGAAACUGGCUUUGAGGCAGUUAUGAGAGGUUAUAGGAGGCAAUUAACAGGUGCUUCAUCAGUAAUUCUACUGCCCCACUCAACAACAACAGCAUACCCAUGACGAGGAAUGGGCUGCCUCAGACACAGACAAAUGACAAAGCGUUCUCCCUAGCAACGAAGAACUGAUGAAAACCAUUAGAUCAUUUCCUUCUACAUAUUCAGCUCCUUUCUUCAUAGUACUGUUGUCAACAGGAGAGCUGGAUUCCAAUUAUCUGAUUCAAGUGUUUCCAGUGAACUGUCAUACACAGAAGCUAAC